UGAAGUUCAUUUUUGAAAAGUAAUUCUUUUUAUAGAUGAGAAAACAAGCAGUUUCAGAUUUACGAACAUUGAAAACUGAACUGGCACAGAAAAAAAAAAUAAUACAUCUCUACAAUCUCAAUUAGUUGCUAGAAGUGUGCCUGGCUAGGAGGUCUACAGAAGAUUUUGUUUAUGAUGAAUCAGCCAAGUCAAAAGGGAGCAUUGGCUGCUGCAAUACAUUCUGACCAGAUCUGACUUUGUUCAUCAUAAGACAUCACAAAGAGGAAGUCACAAGCAUCUGCGAUUCCAGUAUAAUUAUAGCAUCUUCUGUCUAUGUUCUUUGGAGACCAAGCUACAUCAAAGGUUACCUGUGGAAAAAAAUCUUACUAUUUUAUGUAAUAUGAUCACGUGUGCAUAUUACGUCAGAUUUUUAAAAUUAUAUAUAUUUUUUACCUUAUACUACACAAGGAAAAGGAACUGCUUACAGUAUAUGAAUGUAGGGUUUGACACACAUAGAACUUGAACCAUUCUAAGAAAUAUUUUUUGCUUACACUUGACUGAGUCAGACAUAUAUUUGGACAUACAAUGACCAGGAGCAAGACACUAUAUAGAAGAUGGCCUUCAAACUCAAAAUGUCUUCAAACGCUAGGCUGGUACCUCAGCUGAUUAAAAGAAGCAGGUAUAAUGACAACAGGGUAUGGUGAUGCCCCUGAGCAACUAGAGAGUAAAGGCACACUAAAAGAAUUCAAAUACAAAAGUUUUUAAAAUAUUGUGCAGGUUAAAUAUGUCACCUGUUGGCACAACCUGACUGGGUUGGGAGUUUCAGCCUGAUUCACAAUCACCUUAUAUGGUAGAUUUGGCCCAAUAUUACAGUUAAGACAAUAGUGGUGUCUUACGGCCUACAGGUAUAGAUUAAUCAAGUCAAAAUGUUGAAUAAAUCAUUUAAAUGAUCUUAUUUUACGGAAAUAUUCAAAUAAAUGUUGAGUAUUAUCUUUCUUUUUUGGGGGGGAUGGAGUCUUGCUCUGUCACCCAGGGUGGAGUGCAGUGGCGCAAUCUCAGCUCACUGCAACCUCUGCCUCCUGGGUUCAAGUGAUUCUCCUGCCUCAGCCUCCCACAUAGCUGGGAUUACAGGCAUGCGCCACCACGCCCAGCUAAUUUUUUUGUAUUUUUAGUAGAGACAGGGUUUUGCCAUGUUGCCCAGGCUGGUCUCAAACUCCUGACCUCAGCUGAUCUGCCGAUCUCAGCCUCCCAAAGUGCUUACAGGCGUGAGCCACCACACCCAGCCUUAUCUUUCAUUUUGAAUAGUGAGCCAGCCUUCAACAAGAAUGUGUCUCUUUAUGUUUAUUGCCUUAACCAAAUAUUAAUUAGCCUUAUUUUAUACAUGUACAAAUGUUCUAAAACUUCAUUAAAGGUUGUUUUCCCCCCUUAAUUAGGCACUCAAUAAACACUGAUUAUUUUAAAA
rnacentral:lncRNA from 10 species